UUAUGAUGGGAAUAAAUGGGAAAACAAUGAAGCACAGGUGCCAAGGCCCAUCAACAGCCUGCGUCAGGAAGAAAGGAAAGGGUGAGGCACAAGGUUGACUCUGCUAAGGCGGAUAACUGGUUACUGGUUUUGCUUGAAUGUGGAGGCAAUCUUUCAGACAUGGAGUAUUGAAACAAAUUUCAACUUACUUUGCUGUUACUUACAACACAAAGAAAAGCUUGCCAAAGAAGUGAAACGAAGAGGUGGCCGGCCUGUGGCUCCAGAGGCCUGUGUCUGCUCCACAGUCAGGCCGCCUAGUCCUUCACUGGCUCCUGCUUUUGGAUUGCGUAACACCUGAGCCCAUUUGCCUCUUUGCUUUCACAUCAAGACCUACGGCUCCUGGGUCUUAGUGAGAAGUGAGGAAGUUUAUACAGGCAAAGAGCAGGAAGGCUUUCUUCACUGAAGUUGCACUCCUGUCCAUCACGAGGAAGAUUAAGGACCCGAAGCUGGGAUUCCUGACUCUACCUCUGCAACACACUGCUCCCUUCCUCCUUGUUGCAAGCAGCAUUGGGCCUUCGAGAAGACAUCCACAGACAGCACAAAUCCCUUCUCAGAGAGAGAGCCACAGAGCUCUCCGGAAGAAUCUGCGCCUCUCUGCCAGCCUCCCUGCCCCCAACCCCGCCGCCGCUCUCUGAAAUAUGAAAUAAAUGAGGUGGAGUUUAAUUUUAGGGUCUACAAACUUGUAAUGUGUUCAUCAUUCCUGCUACCAUUUUGCAUGGCAGGAUGAAGUUGGCAGACACGUUUUGUGAGGAAAGCUGCAGGUAUGUUC